CAUUUUUUUUCCACCGACAGACUCAUUUCUACCCUAAUUUGUCGGAAGAUAAACAGAUCUUCUUUUCAUUAAUUAUUUCUUCAAGGCUCCUCGGUUUUGAUGGAGAAGUCGCAUUUGCACCUGGUUGACUUUAGUUAGUUCGUGUUCUGUACUCUACACGCUCAUCAAUGGCGCUCCCGGAGGUUGUUCCUGGUUCGCGGCGAGGUUCUUUUCUAGCUCUCUGCUUCUGGUUCACGCAACCCAAUCUUUCAACUUAUUUGGUGUUAAAUCCUGUGGAUUUUAAGAAGGGGAAUGACUUAUACGAAGACCCAGCUUCCGAUUUCAUAUUACUUACACCCGUUUUGUUGUCCCAGAAAGAUAGAGGAUGAUGUAGUCAUUAUUGGAGAAAUUUUGCUCCUCCUUGCAUGGUGCAGGAACUAGAACCCACUAAACAGAUGGAUGGACGAUGACGCAUGCGUGUGAUGAAAGGGUUACUUCCACCACCAAUACAUUUUAGAUUCAUAUCUAGCAUGCCUUGAUAUUUAUAUCCUUUAGGCAUUGCUAAAUUUUUCAACGUGGGACAAAACUCUCCCACUCCCUUAACUUUUGUUACAGGCCUAAGCCUAAAAGUCAUUUUCAAUACUUCCUUCAUGCAUCUAUAGAUGCAAAACUGCCCCCAAAUUGUAGCAGUCUCAUCCAAUUGAUGGAACAAACACAUACGCAGUGGAAGAAAAACGGAUCUAAAGUACUCUAAUUAGGUUAAUUAUAAAAGAUAAACAUGCAAUUGAAACAAAUAAAAGAUGGAAAAUAAUACAACCUUUGCAGACUUUGAAUCUUCUCCAAAUUAGCUCCAAUCUCCUCACGAACGGUUCAUAGACCACCACGAGAGUCUUCCCGACUAUUCUCUAGUAUUAGAACGGGUGGUGGGAUCUGGUGAGUGACUAAUUUGGAGAGGAAAAAGGUUAAGUCUUAGAGAUAAAAUUGUUAAGAGAUUAUCACAUAAUCUCAUCCAAUUCCACUAUGGCCAAGAGUUUUAGAAAUUCAAUAAUCACUCCUUCGUCAUUUGAUCAAUUUAGUUCACAACUUCGUCAUUUUAGCGUCUUUUUGCCUCGAACGCCUAAUUCAACUGCUUGUACA